GGCGUGUUGACUUAAUUGGUAAAGUGUUGUGUUUCGGCCACAAAGACUACAGGUUCGAAUCUUGUACACGUCU
rnacentral:tRNA from 1 species